GGUCACAGUGGCUUUCCAAGAGAGGGUGCGAUUCGCAUUAUGUCAUUGGCGUGCAGGAUCAUGUGUUUGUGCUGUCGGAGGAGGAGGAGCGUUGGUUUGAUCUGUACUACAGAUGGGUACGUCCACAGCUCCUGAGAUUCAACAAGAAACGCACAAAGAAAGAAAAGGUUGAUGCAGAACACAGGUUCCUUGUCUCCUCGGCAGGGAAGGCAAUUGGCAACCCAUCAAAUGACCUGUUUAAGCUACACUUAAAAUACAAACUCCCGACAGUGAACUGUCAGACGGCACGGAGAGUAUUUGAGACGGCAGCUAAGAGCCUGACGGACACUCAGAGGUCAUUGUUGACCAACUACCUGACCAGUUC